UAGACAGAUGCAGCAUUGUCUUUGGCGUC
rnacentral:piRNA from 1 species